GCAAGAUUGUAUAUAUAUAAAAAUUUUUGACCGGGCAUGGUGGCUCACACCUGUAAUCCCAGCACUUUGGGAGGCCGAGGUGAGUGGCUCACCCACCUCGGUCAGGAGUUCAAGACCAGCCUGACCAACAUGGAGAAACCUCGUCUCUACUAAAAAUACAAAAUUAGCCGGGCAUGCUGGCACAUGCCUGUAAUCCCAGCUACUCGGGAGGCUGAGG
rnacentral:lncRNA from 1 species